rnacentral:misc_RNA from 1 species
GGAAGUAAAAGUCGUACAAGGUUUCCGUAAGUGAACCUGCGGAAGGAUCAUUAUUGUAUAACCGAGGUGCGAGGGCUGUCGCUGACCCGAAAGGUCGUGCACGCCCGAGUGCCCUCACACACAUCCAUCUCACCCCUAUGUGCACCACCGCGUGGGUCCCCCUUUGGCUUGUUCGGAGGGGGGCUUACGUUUUCACACAAACUUUGUAUGCAGUGUAGAAUGUAUUUUUUGUUUUUGCGAUCACGCAAUCAAUACAACUUUCAACAACGGAUCUCUUGGCUCUC